AAUUGAAGAGUUUGAUCAUGGCUCAGAUUGAACGCUGGCGGCAGGCCUAACACAUGCAAGUCGAACGGUAACAGGAAGCAGCUUGCUGCUUUGCUGACGAGUGGCGGACGGGUGAGUAAUGUCUGGGAAACUGCCUGAUGGAGGGGGAUAACUACUGGAAACGGUGGCUAAUACCGCAUAACGUCGCAAGACCAAAGAGGGGGACCUUCGGGCCUCUUGCCAUCAGAUGUGCCCAGAUGGGAUUAGCUUGUUGGUGAGGUAACGGCUCACCAAGGCGACGAUCCCUAGCUGGUCUGAGAGGAUGACCAGCCACACUGGAACUGAGACACGGUCCAGACUCCUACGGGAGGCAGCAGUGGGGAAUAUUGCACAAUGGGCGCAAGCCUGAUGCAGCCAUGCCGCGUGUAUGAAGAAGGCCUUCGGGUUGUAAAGUACUUUCAGCGGGGAGGAAGGUGUUGCGGUUAAUAACCGCAGCAAUUGACGUUACCCGCAGAAGAAGCACCGGCUAACUCCGUGCCAGCAGCCGCGGUAAUACGGAGGGUGCAAGCGUUAAUCGGAAUUACUGGGCGUAAAGCGCACGCAGGCGGUCUGUCAAGUCGGAUGUGAAAUCCCCGGGCUCAACCUGGGAACUGCAU
rnacentral:rRNA from 3 species